rnacentral:rRNA from 1 species
UACGAAGGGGGCUAGCGUUGCUCGGAAUCACUGGGCGUAAAGCGCACGUAGGCGGAUUGUUAAGUCAGGGGUGAAAUCCUGGAGCUCAACUCCAGAACUGCCUUUGAUACUGGCGAUCUUGGAGUCCGGGAGAGGUGAGUGGAACUGCGAGUGUAGAGGUGAAAUUCGUAGAUAUUCGCAAGAACACCAGUGGCGAAGGCGGACUCACUGGCCCGGUACUGACGCUGAGGUGCGGAAAGCGUGGGGAGCAACAGGG